rnacentral:rRNA from 1 species
UGGAUUCUGAGACACGAAUCCAGGCCCUACGGGGCGCAGCAGGCGCGAAAACUUUACAAUGCGGGCAACCGUGAUAAGGGAACCUCGAGUGCCUGUACAUGCAGGCUGUUCGGGUGUCUAAAACACACCUGAAGAAAGGGCCGGGCAAGACCGGUGCCAGCCGCCGCGGUAAUACCGGCGGCUCGAGUGGUGGCCACUUUUAUUGGGCUUAAAGCGUUCGUAGCUGGGUUGUUAAGUCUCUUGGGAAAUCUGACGGCUCAACCGUCAGGCGUCUAAGGGAUACUGGCAAUCUUGGAACCGGGAGAGGUGAGGGGUACUUCGGGGGUAGGAGUGAAAUCCUGUAAUCCUCGAGGGACCACCUGUGGCGAAGGCGCCUCACCAGAACGGCUUCGACAGUGAGGGACGAAAGCUGGGGGAGCAAACCGGAUUAGAUACCCGGGUAGUCCCAGCCGUAAACGAUGCGCGUUAGGUGUAUCGGUGACCACGAGUCACCGAGGUGCCGAAGGGAAACCGUGAAACGUGCCGCCUGGGAAGUACGGUCGCAAGGCUGAAACUUAAAGGAAUUGGCGGGGGAGCACCACAACAGGUGGAGCCUGCGGUUUAAUUGGACUCAACGCCGGGAAUCUCACCGGAUAAGACAGCUGAAUGAUAGUCGGGAUGAAGACUCUGCUUGACUAGCUGAGAGGAGGUGCAUGGCCGUCGUCAGUUCGUACUGUGAAGCAUCCUGUUAAGUCAGGCAACG